UUCCCGUUGACGCCAGUGUGAGCAAUACACAAUACAUGGCAGUAUUGUUCCCCAGCCAGAUGUUUGAGUGGUAUUAACAGUGGCUCAGGCAGUGAUGAGGCGCGGAGCUUGAGAGGUUUCCUGCCGGGUGUUGCAGGGCGUUGUGUGUAAUCUUUGUCCCCCAGCCGGGUUAUUGAUUGUUAUUCAUGAAGCUUCUCUUUUCAAUUCAAGAGCGCCUCGUCCCGGUCAAUAACCGUGAAUGAAGCAACAUCGGCCGCCAGUACAGUGCUCGCAGAUAGCGGUUGUGGGCGUGGGUAGGGGGCUGGAAGUGCGUCAAAGGACCCUUGCAGAGAGAUAUACUCAGGCUCCUAUUGAAGCCCUCUUUUGUCCAAGAGUUCACAGUCGAUAAAACACCUUUCAGCUGCGGUGUGAUGGUUUCAACCUUUCAUUUGCUAUCUAGAUUAGAUCUCGACUGUGAUCUCUGUGAAAUCUACAUUGGAAUUUACCACAAGCUAUCUUCUGAAGUGGGUUGAUUGUGGAACUAGUUGAACUUCUCUCUUGUUGUGUGCUUAAACAAGGGAACACAGUGCCAUCCCUGGCAGCCAUGACCUCUCUCCACCUCCACAGAAGCUUCUUAUGAAAGAGAGAGAGGAAAAGAGAGAAAGACAGAGUGAAAUUGCUUGGGUCAUACUCAUCAAACAAAGAGGAUUUUUGUUUUAAUAGGACAUGUACCACAUUUUCUAGUAUGAUUGCUCACCUGAUGUUAUGCCAGUUGUAUGGGUCUGUCGAUGAUGUGUAAUAUUACACUAAUAUCUUAAUAAUCAGAAUUUGAUUUCUGUGCUGUAUCAGUCAGUGUGUGCGUGUGCGUAUGAGUAUGUACAUAUGCAUAUCAUUUAAAGUGUGACAUUCCAUCCAAAAGAACGAGUAGUAAAGUCAGAGAAAGAUGUGUGUAUCCUGUUUGUGUGAAAGGAGCCUGUUAGUUAUUUCUUCUGACUACCAAUGGGGGCCGGGCAGUCCAGGGGUUAGGUUGUCUGUCUCCCAGCCAAAAGUUCAACUCGUGUCUAUGCUGUACGUCUCGUUGGAUAAAGGUGCCUGCUAAAUGGCUAAAUAGGAUUAGUAAUUAAUACUACAAUUUAAAACGCUACCUUUGAAACCUGAUGGUAUUCCGGAUCUGAUUGAGCUGGCUGUCGUUGACCUUCAUCACAUCUCAUUCACAAGACUCCUCUCCCUCUGUAUCUCCUCAGUGAGACCAGCAGGAGAAGCCCUUCAGAUUUAAUGUUUAUAAUGUGAAUGAAGUCAAAGUAAAGAGAGAGGCCAUUAGACUUCUGUGGCGGAGCCCUGUGUCUUCUUUUUUUUUACCAUUGAGUGGUACUUACCCACUCUAAGGGUUCAUAGGGCUGUUGACUGCUAGUUGACAUCAAUACACAUGCUCCCAUUUAUGUAUUUACUUUAAUUAUAUAGAUCUGUAUCGCUGUAUAUCUUUUAUAUAAAUACACACACACACAUUUUAUCUGAGAUGGGAGAUUUGCAGCUUAUUCAAAUCCAAGUGGACAGAGGAAAGCAGCAAAGCAAAUCAUAGACGGAUAAUGAUGCGUGAUUUAAUUAAUCAGGCCCGCAGCACGACCGGCAGGGGAAGAUGAUGGGGCUGAUGUGCGGGGAGAUAAGAGGAAAAUUAAUUUACAUGGAUGUCGCUCAGCUUUACUUAACUCGCGUCGUGCCCGCGUUCUGGCUCGGGAAACAAGUGGGAACAAGGCUGGUAUGGUUUUGGCAGCCCACGGACCCGUUUCCGCCCUGACCGCCCGCGACCCUGCCGUGAACUCCCUGUGACCUGAGGAUGUCAAAUGGAGAGCGCCGUAUUAGGACGUCUGGAAGACCCUUCAGGGAACACAGAUUUCAUGUUAGGGGCUGUAUUAGUAAGGCGAGAACUGUUGAAUUAUUAAAACAAUACCAAAUCUACCGAAACCACCCACAUUUUUUGCCUGCUGCUGCGUUCUUACUCGAGAAGAAUGUACUUGUGAGCACUUUGACAGGGGAGUGCUGGGCUGAGUUUCUGAGUAGUGGGUGGGUUGGUGGUAUAUUUCUGUGGCACAUUAAUCAAUGGUGAAAAUAAAUUCUGAUUCAGAGUGAAAACAGAGGAAUAAUGUUACAGGAGCCAGGAACCUUCUCGAGCUUCUCAAAAUGGACUUGGCAUAAAGGAACCAAAUCCAAAUGAUAUGCUCAUCACUUCAUUACUCAUUGCUCUUUCUUUGCUCUAAACUAGCAAGUGUUGAUGAUGAUGACAAACAUGUGCAAAGUAUAAUUUGCAUAGUAACACAUCCCAGAUAUAGAAUCACACUCAUCCAGUCAUUAAUUAUGCGUCAAAGGUCAGAGACGAAUUCCCGAGAUGGAUUAAUCCAAAUUUUAAUCGUAUUCAAUCUGAUCAUUUUUAAAAACAAGGUCACAGACAAUACUGCCAAGUAAACACAUUUCAGAUUCAAGGAGAAAAUAAUUGCAUGUGAGGAUUUUGUAAUACAUCACAUUAAUUAUUUUCUACCAAGAACCCACCAAGAUCACUUGGUUCAAUAUGUCAGUGCUGGAGGCCUACGUACACCAACUCUGAUGAGCGAAUCAACGGACGAUCCAAGUGUUGGGUGUUCCUCGCUCACUCGUUGAGCGAUGGGAGCUAGUUAUUAUCAGUGUUAUGCUUCCUUCUGAUGAGUCUAAUGCAUUGUAGCAUCUCCGCUGUGAGGGCUCCCUGAGUGAAGCUGCUUUGCCUCUGGUAAUGUUACAGGUCAUGCAUAUCAAAGCUGCUUCCCAGGGCCUUUCCUCUCGGACAUAGAAAACUACUGACAGACGUGCUCCUUCACCUGUGUUUGCAUUAGAUGUGUGAUUGAUGAUAAGAUAAAAAAAAUAAAAUGGGGAAUUGAAGAAAGAUUUGGAGCGAGUAUUUGUUGGCCAAUGAAUAUUCAGUGAUAUACUUGAAAGGGAUCUCGAAACAUGGCCCUGAAAUGAACGCUCCAGUUGUUUAUGACAUGGGGCUUCGUCGAAUAAUCAUCCCCUGCCAUUUGCAAAUGUUUGGGAUUAUGCGAUAAAGGGAAAUUCUGGGAUUUUUUGUCAGUGUCAAAAGGAGGCUGUGAGGCCUGGAAUGGAUCCCUGAAUACACAAAUAAACCUGUCUCAUAGGAAGAAGACAAGGUUUAUGCUAUCUGUGGGUUUAGAAUUAUGUUUUGUAAUCCACAGGAAGGUGGCCCCAAAGACUGUUUAUGAUGUUUAAGCAGAGGCUUUUGUCUGGCUAGUGUCACACAGUUCUUGGAACGUUUUCUAGGCUUUAUAGAAGAUACUAAUAGAUAAAUAAAAGGACAACACGUUGUUGUUCUUGAGUAGUCCAACAGAAAAUCUGUCUCUAUAACCACCGUCCGGAGACAACCGUUUAAAACAAAUUAGCCUGCAAAUUAAAAUAGACUUCAAGCACGGAAAGAACAUCCUGUAAUGCGCAAUUGAUAUUCCUCAAACCAGCCUGGGAUUUGAUUUGUGAACCUAAACCCCGGAGCCAUUUAUGUGGACGCUAAAAUUCAAUCAGGACUCUAAAUUAACGUGCUAAUAAAAUGAAGGAGUGGGCCUGCGGUUAUUGACAGCACAGUAUUCACAGGCGAACACCCCCGCUCCAGUGUGUCAGGACUUAUAUAUCCCCUGCAGCCCGCUCGUAUUUUUUGAUAAUUGCACAGUAUGUUGUCCAUUAUCCCUGAUGCACAGGUUUUUUGAACAAUGGCUGUUCGUCAAAAAGAGUUGCAGGUCAACACACCCCUAUUGCUGGCACUAUAGUAGUGUGUGUGUUUGACGUAUUCCUCCCUGUGGAGGUCAUGUAUGUAGUACACACAUCGCAACUGUUUUGUUUUUCCUCGUUGUACAUCCACAGUUUCUGUACUAUGAUUGUACAAUCAACUCCAUCAAGUUUUGACAAACGACUGGAUUCGCGUUCACGUUUGUCUUAAUCCUGGAAAUAACAACUCAACAGUUUAAGAUGACUCAGUGAAUAUCGUGUACCCAGAUGUAUCAUGGCUGGUCGAUAAAGACAUCCUCCUAAUCAGCGAGGCAGACGUUAGGAUGAUUUCCUCUUCUUCUUCUUAUUAUACUGUAUCACAGGUUACAGAACAAGGAGCUGCUGGGCGUGGUGAAUAUCUGUGCACAGGUGCGUGCUUUGCCUUACACAAGCAAAAUUUGCCUUUGAAGUAACUUAAUCCUAUUGCCCCAAAUUUCCUUUUUCCUCAAGCACUAUUUGCAUUAAGCGUUGGGCUUAGCUGACGUCACACUUUGUCAAAAAUGCUGAGUUAUGAGCACCGGAGCCUGUGCUUGAGGAGAUUGAGGCAGAGGAGCAGAGGUUUUGUAUUUCGACACGGGUGAUGAGCAGACCACAGCCCAGAGAGUUUCCAAUUACAAUUUCCUGUCUGCUUUUCAGCUGUGGUGAGAUGAACUUAACCUCCUGAUGUCGGGGAUUAUGAUAGCAAGGCGGCCACGGCAUUCAGAGUAGUCAAUGAAUGGGAAUACUUAUGAAUGGUCGUGUGCAGCUGGAGAAAUGACCGGUUUUCCAUCCGAUUUCAUUUCCUGUUAUGUUUCCAAUUAAUCCAUUUCCCUCUCUUGACGCAUCUCUGCUUUAGUUUUCUGUCAACCAUAUGCAAUGAGUUUCAAUGUCAUUGAGUAUCUCUGGAACAAUACUGAUUGUCUUCAACACUUAUUCCAGCAGUGAAAUCCUUGCACAGAUGAUUGUGUACUUUUCCCUCUCUUUUUGUGUUCGUUCAUUGUGAGAUGUGUGACCAAAAUGAUCCCUGUAAUAUUUAAUGAUAUUGUUACCAUGUCCCUGUCAGGGUAUCACUGGUGACCAGGGACCCGGAGCAUUGAUUUAGCCCGAGGGAGAGCAUUAUCCGCUACUUCAGAUCCUGAGAAGAAGGUCAGCAUACCCUAACACAAUGCGGAGUACUGCGGAAACCACCGAAAAAUGGUGUGAUAGAUAUGCAAGUCGUGGAUACAGUUUUACAUGGCUACAUCCACUUGAUUUUAGGUACGAUAACCAACGUUUAGCGUGCCAUCGCCAUUUAGAAUUAAUGUCAAGGAAGAAAGAGGAACAUAACCGCUUUCACUCAAAGCACUGAAACUGAAAGCUCAGCGCAAGGCGUGUGCUGAUGUGAUUCGUUGCGGCGCUGCUGAGAUCCAACAUGUCUGCACUGAUUUCCUGUUCCUGUUGGAGCGUGGGUGGACACUGCGGAGCUCUUUAAAGCUUGACAUUAUUUCCACCUCUCUGUGUGUGACUCAACUAAGUGUCCUUGAGAGCUUCAGUGCAGCUUGACAGUUCUGCUGUAUAACAGAUAGCUUCUCUGGUCCCCCUGCCCUCGGUGCCUAGGCCUGUUUGCAUCCAUCUCUGUCUCUCCCCGCUCUCGUGCGCUCACUAUAGGGUUGGUUAAGUAGUUGUCCUUCACUGCAACUGGUGCUAACAGAACAGAGGCUGCAUCAUUAGGGCCGCCUGAUUAUCUAUUAAUUCUCUCUUUAUGCUGCGUCUCUCAGGAUGCAGAUGUGCUGCAGACACACAGAUGAGCGUGGAUGGAUGAUGAUUGAAACCGGUAGAUGGAUUGAUAGAUGGAUGGAUGUUUGGGCCGGUGGUUACUUGGAUGGAUAAUCAGACAGAGGGAUGGAUGGAUUCGAUGGAUGGAUUGCAGCAAUGGUGCAAACAAAACAGAUUAGAUGUGUGUUAUUUUAUUUAUUUUGCACUGAGUCACUUAAAAAAUAGCAGACAGAGAGCUUUGUGUUCAAGUAAACUAAAGUGAUGGUGGUGAACGAUGAGUAUAAUGUGCACAAAGCUAGACUUCCAUUAAGAUUGAAUCAGCAAUCAGUACUUAAAAAACGUGUUGCCCCCUUUGAAAGCUUAGAGAGAAAACCAAAAAGCAUGUUCAUUCAGUUUCUACAAUAACACAGUUAGUUCCUGUAGCAGCGGAAAUAACGGGCUGUCAGCUUGCCCCUGAGGUUAAAGAUUUACAAUUGAACGGCGGCAAUAGAUGAAGCGACAUGCGCCAUAACAGGUUGUUGUGCAAUUCCGGUAAAACACACUCAAUCGGUAGACUUUAGGGGUCAGGCUUGUGUUGGUGCUCAAUACAUUUCAGUCCGUCUUUGUUCUUGAAGUUUGAGGGUCCUUAGAAAUGCAUUCAGGCAGGUGUCAGCCCCUUUCCCUUCAGAGAACGUGCCACUCACGUGUUCUCAUGUCUGCCUGUGUUCUCUUGUCAUGGUGUCAGUAUAUGUACAGUAUAUGUUGUAUUUUAUUUAUAUUUUAUGUAUAACUAAUCAUUAUACAUGACAUACUUUUAUUAUGUGUUUUCAUGACUGCAUAGUGUGUGUGUGCAUUCAUGUGAAUAUGUGCAAAUGCUUGCUUGUUUAUACAUGAGUGUGUUUGUGUGUUUACAUUAGUGUGUGUGUGUGUGUGUGUGUGUGUGUGUGUGUGUGUGUGCACGCGCGUGCGUGUGUGCGCGUGCGUAAAUGGGUAUAUGUGUGUGUGUUAGUUUAUUUGUAUGUUCUGCAUGUGUCUGUGUGUCUGCGAGUCAGUUUCAUUUGCGGCAGCAGAAUCCGAUAUGAGCCCCUUGGAAUAAAAGUGUAUUCAACAUGAG